GCCGCAUUAGCUCAGCGGUAGAGCGUCAGUCUUGUAAACUGAAGGUCGGUGGUUCGAGACCGCCAUGCGGCU
rfam:Trachipleistophora hominis chromosome Tnknown scaffold00281, whole genome shotgun sequence.